UACGGAGGGUGCUAGCGUUGUUCGGAAUUACUGGGCGUAAAGGGCGCGUAGGCGGCUUAUCAAGUCAGAGGUGAAAGGCCUGGGCUCAACCUGGGAACUGCCUUUGAAACUGGUAAGCUAGAGUCCGGAAGAGGAUAGCGGAAUUCCCAGUGUAGAGGUGAAAUUCGUAGAUAUUGGGAAGAACACCAGUGGCGAAGGCGGCUAUCUGGUCCGGCACUGACGCUGAGGCGCGAAAGCGUGGGGAGCAAACAGG
rnacentral:rRNA from 1 species